AUGCUCACUUUGGCAGCAUGUACACUAAAACUAAAACAAUACACAGAAAAUUGGUGCGGUCCCUGCACAAGGAUGACAUGCAAAUUUGUAAAACAUCCCAUGUUAAA
ensembl:snRNA U6 U6 spliceosomal RNA